AGUGAACGCUGGCGGUAGGCCUAACACAUGCAAGUCGAACGGCAGCACAGUAAGAGCUUGCUCUUACGGGUGGCGAGUGGCGGACGGGUGAGGAAUACAUCGGAAUCUACUUUUUCGUGGGGGAUAACGUAGGGACACUUACGCCAAUACCGCAUACGACCUACGGGUGAAAGCAUGGGAUCUUCGGACCUUGCGCGAUUGAAUGAGCCGAUGUCGGAUUAGCUAGUUGGCGGGGUAAAGGCCCACCAAGGCGACGAUCCGUAGCUGGUCUGAGAGGAUGAUCAGCCACACUGGAACUGAGACACGGUCCAGACUCCUACGGGAGGCAGCAGUGGGGAAUAUUGGACAAUGGGCGCAAGCCUGAUCCAGCCAUACCGCGUGGGUGAAGAAGGCCUUCGGGUUGUAAAGCCCUUUUGUUGGGAAAGAAAAGCAGCAGGUUAAUACCCCGCUGUUCUGACGGUACCCAAAGAAUAAGCACCGGCUAACUUCGUG
rnacentral:rRNA from 1 species